AGCCAUCAUACAUACAUCUCAGCCCCUAGCCGAGGUUGCAGGUUCAAGCUUGUACCAAGAUCAGGGGUGACUAGUACGAUUAACUGCGAGCGGAAAAGUGGAAGACUGUUGGCGAUGGAAGCUGCAUACCCAUGUCGAAGAACCGAGCACAGGAAGAUGGAGGGAGAAUCAUACCUGGAAUGGGGAAGCGUUGCAAUGCUUAGGCUGCGGUUGCGGCUUUGAGCUUGUAUCCAGAGCGACGGCUGCUGCUCAGACUAGUGAGGGACGCCUUGUGAGCUUGAAAGAUGGCAGAGUUCUUCCGGCCUCAGCAAUGGUGUGAACGGUGUGAAGUGUGGACAGCGAGCAAAAGUGAGAAGGGAGGGGGGAGACCGG
rnacentral:lncRNA from 1 species